GAUGAACGCUGGGCGGCGUGCCUCAAACAUGCAAGUCGAGCGAGGCUAUGAGUUACCGCAAGGUAAGGCAUAGCCUAGCGGCGAACGGGUGAGUAACACGUGGGUAACCUACCUGGAAAGACAGGGAUAACGAUUCGAAAGGGUCGCUAAUACCUGAUAAUAUCCAUCUGCCGGAUGGCGGAGGGAAGAAAGGGGAAACCCGCUUUCAGAUGGGCCCGCGUCCCAUCAGCUAGUUGGUAAGGUAAAGGCUUACCAAGGCGACGACGGGUAGCCGGUCUGAGAGGAUGUACGGCCACACUGGGACUGAGAUACGGCCCAGACUCCUACGGGAGGCAGCAGUUGGGAAUCUUAGGCAAUGGACGAAAGUCUGACCUAGCGACGCCGCGUGAGGGAAGAAGGCCUUCGGGUUGUAAACCUCUGUCAUGGGGGAAGAAGGAAGUGACGGUACCCCAAGAGGAAGCCCCUGCUAACUACGUG
rnacentral:rRNA from 1 species